CAUUCUGACACAUCUAACAACAGCAGAGUCGAUCCUUCCUUUGCUGCUCUAGAACAUCUCACUCCCCGCUUUCCUUCUUAUUCAGUGACCUUACUCUGCCAGUUCCUCUUCAUUUCUCCAGGUAUCUUGCAGUUUCUUUUAAGGUGCAUGUGGAAACCAGACAACAACCUGUAGGAGUCAGUUCCUUCCUUCCACCAUGUAAGUCCUGAGGACUCAAAGUGUUCAGCUUGGCUUAGCUUUAGCUACUGAAAUAUCUCCCAGCCUUCAACAUGUAUAUUUUAACUGAAUGCAAAAAUAAUGCUCAAAGAAUACAGUUCAAAAGGUAUUAACAAACAA